AUGUCUUGGCGGCCCAGGGCUGCUGGCUCCUAUUUCCUAGAAUUGGUACCAGACGAACACACCGUUCUUGGGAAGUGUAUCUGCAAGACCAGAGACUGCGUCUGGAGCCUGCACAGACCCAGGGAGCUUAGAAGCACAUGGAUCCAGCUUGAGGGUCGAAACACAGCUGCCUGGUGAGCAUACACAAAGCAGAGCUCACUCAGCCAAGACUCUGACAGCGGCCAUGGGGUUGUUGUUGGCUUGUUCAUGCAACAGAAAGAAGAAAAAAAAAAAAGAACCACCUCUCAAGCGAAAAACAGAGCCAAAACUGAUUCGAGCGAAGCACCGACACUGCGUAUAUUGGUGUAUGUAUUUGUGUGGCAGCGUAAACUACUACAGACACAAAGAAGGGGGCGUGAUCAAAUACAUUUGAGAACCACUGGUCUACAAUAUGGCCUAGCAUGUUUCCCCACAAGCCUACCUAAAGCAAUAGCCUGCUUAGCCUUCAACACCCCUUCCAUCUAAGGGCAUUUCUGGAGCAGAGAUUUCCUGUGGGCUUGUCUACACUAUGGGAUCUGAUUUUCAAAGAUACUCAGCACUCACAACUGGGGCAGUUAUUUUCAAUUAGUUUAGCUCUUAUUCAGGCACCCAGGUGAAGAAGCCAAUGGAUCCUGGGCAAUUCUGAAAGUCCGGUCACUUCAUUUAGGUACCGAUCUGGGUCCUGAGCUCCUUUGAAAAUCUGGUUCCACAACCACAACCGUCAGGAUGCCAACAAGGGCAGUCAGGGUCAAGGGCCAGAGCUGGGGCAAACCCAAGGCUAGGAGUAGCCAAGCAGUUUGUAGUCAGGUUCCAGGCCAGAGUCGAUUCAGGGUCCAAGUCAUGAGGCAAACUCCAAAUCAAGUCGAGGUCAAAGCCAGAAAUUCAGGAACAGACCCACUCAUGGCACCUAAAGAAGGUCCACACUGUUACCUGCACAUCUCCUGGAGUACCCCUUGGGCUUAUAUAGAGCAGGGAGCCAAUCAGAAGCCAUGAAGCUUCUGUCGGUCAGGCGCUCGAGGCGGAACUUCUGCUGUGUGUCCGCAGGGGGUCAUGGGAAGUGGAGCCCAAACUCAUUACAGCUGGGAAAUGACAGUUACCGUGUCAUUCUACACGGUUGGGUUCUAGACCCACAGGGCCUUCCAAUAACUGUACCAAGCAACCCAACUAGUAAACUGCUUUACAACAAGAUUGUAGAGGGGACUGUCCGACUAACCAUGUUAAGGAAUCUACAUUGCAAUCCUCGCCUGCAGGACUGAACCUGUCCUCUAGCACGUUCAUUACAAACGGCCCCUCUCUCCGCAGUUGAGGAAAAGCCACGUCCUUCACAUAAUCCCAAGACAGCUGCACAUUUUAUCUUGCGACCAUUGUUGCUGGUCUCUAGCAGGGCUGAAUUUGUUAGAAGCUGGGGGAGCGGGGAAGGAUGUGUCUUUGGACUCUGGCCACCCAUCUGCACAUGCAAUGGAUGCUAUGCACACAGAUGGACCAUCUCACAUCUUGCUCCCUGGCAGUGGAUUCUAGCACUCUCUGAAUAGACUUACCAGUGCAGUGCCUGCCAGAGUACAUAACACAGGACUUUAACAAUACUAAUUUAAUUAACAACUUGGUACGGACAGGGACAAAUUGCAUAGGAGGUUAUCUAUUAAUGACAGAAUAUUAAAUUCAUUAUGGGCCCAAUCCAAAGCCAGUGGGAAUCUGUGUAUUAACUUCGGUGGCCUUUAGAUUGGAUCCUAGCGACCUUACUGGCAAUUAAUGGAAUAGCCUAUGGCCCUUUGCUGACCUUCUGUGCUGCCCCCUAUACUUGGAAGUCUCCCUCUGUCUAUGUGCCAAGCACCCUCAUUCUUCUCCUCCAAAGCCUUCCUAAAAAGACAAUGCUUAUGUGAAGCCUUUUAAGCAGGAUCAUGUCCUAAAUUCGGACACCAACUCCAACUCCUGUCGAAACACCAUCUGUCUGCUAUUUGUGUCUGAUUUGUUUCCUCUGUCUGUCUCUGAACUCCGUUAAAAGCCUCUUGGACCAGGGACAGUGCUUUAUUCAUCUGUAAAGCAUCUAUUCAGCAGACCCCUUACGCCACUGGCUUCAAAGGGACUAAUCACAAAGCUAGGUGCUAUUCAGCAUGAAUAAGGGUAUCUGAAUCUGGCCCCAAGUGAUUAAUCAAAAUAAGGCCAGGCCUACACAAAACCUUUUAAAAUAAUUUUCCAUUUGGGUAAUUUACACUGUAUUAAUGAUCGUGAAGGUCUUCGAAAGAUUCAGGCCUUCAUUAAGUUCACAGAAGUUUGGAUGCUUAUUCAAAUGUGUGUGAUUGAAAAAUGUCAAUUUGCCAUUUUGAUGAAAUUUCAAAAUUCAAAACAGAAACAAAAAUUGAGAUUUUCAUUAUUUCAAAAACCCUAUUCUCAGUUGCUCCUGACUCAAAAAAUAUUCCUUUUCCAUCCCAUUCCAUUUUCCUAUCAGUUUCAAAAUCUGAAAUUUCAAAGUUUCAAAUUUUUAAAAAAUGGGAAAACAUUCACUUUUGUUUCUUCAAGUUUUCCUCCUUUUUGAUCAGCUCUAACCCUAACAUCAUCUCUUCUCUCUGAAGUGCUGGGUCUAUAAAGGUGGGUCUAUAAGAUGUGUUAUAAGAAAAGCCUAUCGUUUGGUGUUGAGCCCCAUCCAGGGCCAUGGAAUCCAGAAGAACAUGCAAAUGAAAAACUAUUAAAAAUUGAAUAGAACCUUCCAGGACCUGAAAGAUAUGCUUGGACUUUUAUAUGAUGGUUCACACUGGCUCUUGCUUUGUCUGAACUGGAGACAAGAUGAAUGGCGAGAAUGUGGAAAAGGUAUGGGCCAGGGGAGUCAUCACAGAGAUUGUCAUGUCUCUUGGCAUUAAUGACAUGGGCUGGUUUCUACAGCUCAUAGACUCAUAGCUCAGUACACUGAGCCUUAUUUUAGUGGAAAAGUUAUGCAUGAGGAUAGAAGAUGACUGUCCUUCGCACCCCAGGGGGUUCCACUGCAGACCGAGGGCAGAGUUUGCCUGGCCAUAUGUAACAAGCUCACCUUAGCUGAUCACUCUCGUAUAGUGGGUAUGGCAACACCCAUUUUUUCAUGUUCUCUGUGUGUGUGUGUGUGUAUCUAUCUUCCUACUGUUUUUUCCACGGCAUGCGUCCAGUGAAGUGAGCCGUAGCUCACGGAAGCUCAGGCUCAAAUAAAUUGGUUAGUCUCUAA